UACGUAGGGACCGAGCGUUGUCCGGAUUCAUUGGGCGUAAAGAGCUCGUAGGCGGCUGUUCAAGUCGAACGUGAAAACUCGGGGCUCAACUCCGAGCCUGCGUUCGAUACUGGAUGGCUAGAGUCUGGUAGGGGGAUCUGGAAUUCCUGGUGUAGCGGUGGAAUGCGCAGAUAUCAGGAAGAACACCAAUGGCGAAAGCAGCUCUCUGGGACGGUACUGACGCUGAGACGCGAAAGCGUGGGGAGCGAACAGG
rnacentral:rRNA from 1 species